rnacentral:rRNA from 1 species
UACGAAGGGGGCUAGCGUUGCUCGGAAUCACUGGGCGUAAAGGGUGCGUAGGCGGGUCUUUAAGUCAGGGGUGAAAUCCUGGAGCUCAACUCCAGAACUGCCUUUGAUACUGAAGAUCUUGAGUUCGGGAGAGGUGAGUGGAACUGCGAGUGUAGAGGUGAAAUUCGUAGAUAUUCGCAAGAACACCAGUGGCGAAGGCGGCUCACUGGCCCGAUACUGACGCUGAUGCACGAAAGCGAGGGGAGCAAACAGG